rnacentral:rRNA from 1 species
GACGAACGCUGGCGGCGUGCCUAAUACAUGCAAGUCGAACGCAGUGGGGACGGGUGCGUAACACGUGGGUAACCUCCCAUCAGAGGGGAUAACACUUGGAAACCGGUGCUAAACCGAUACUGAUGGCUGGACCCGCGGUGCAUUAGCUAGUUGGUGAGGUAACGGCUCACCAAGGCCACGUUGGAUAGCCGAGCGUAGAGGGUGAGCGGCAACACUGGGACUGAGACACGGCCCAGACUCCUACGGGAGGCAGCAGUAGGGAAUCUUCGGCAAUGGGCGAAAGCCUGAUCGAGCCAUGCCGCGUGUGUGAAGAAGGUCUUCGGAUUGUAAAGCCCUUUAGGUAGGGAGGCGUUACCAACAGAGUAAGCACCGGCUAACUUCGUGCCAGCAGCCGCGGUAAUAC